AUUGGAGGGCAAGUCUGGUGCCAGCAGCCGCGGUAAUUCCAGCUCCAAUAGCGUAUAUUAAAGUUGUUGCAGUUAAAAAGCUCGUAGUUGAACCUUGGGCCUGGCUGGCCGGUCCGCCUCACCGCGUGCACUGGUCCGGCCGGGCCUUUCCCUCUGGGGAACCGCAUGCCCUUCACUGGGUGUGUCGGGGAACCAGGACUUUUACUUUGAACAAAUUAGAUCGCUUAAAGAAGGCCUAUGCUCGAAUACAUUAGCAUGGAAUAAUAGAAUAGGACGUGUGGUUCUAUUUUGUUGGUUUCUAGGACCGCCGUAAUGAUUAAUAGGGACCGUCGGGGGCAUCAGUAUUCAAUUGUCAGAGGUGAAAUUCUUGGAUUUAUUGAAGACUAACUACUGCGAAAGCAUUUGCCAAGGAUGUUUUCAUUAAUCAGGAACGAAAGUUGGGGGAUCGAAGACGAUCAGAUACCGUCGUAGUCUUAACCAUAAACUAUGCCGACUAGGGAUCGG
rnacentral:rRNA from 1 species